rnacentral:rRNA from 1 species
AUGUACACUCCUACAACAUAGCAUGAAUGCAUCGGAUCCCAUUAGAACUCUAUAGUUAAGCGCGCUCAUGCUAGAGUAGUAUUGGAAUGGGUGACUGCUUGGGAAGUGCUAGUAUUUUACAUG